UGCAGUCGAGCGGACAGAUGGGAGCUUGCUCCCUGAUGUUAGCGGCGGACGGGUGAGUAACACGUGGGUAACCUGCCUGUAAGACUGGGAUAACUCCGGGAAACCGGGGCUAAUACCGGAUGGUUGUYUGAACCGCAUGGUUCAGACAUAAAAGGUGGCUUCGGCUACCACUUACAGAUGGACCCGCGGCGCAUUAGCUAGUUGGUGAGGUAACGGCUCACCAAGGCGACGAUGCGUAGCCGACCUGAGAGGGUGAUCGGCCACACUGGGAMYUGAGACACGGCCCAGACUCCUACGGGAGGCAGCAGUAGGGAAUCUUCCGCAAUGGACGAAAGUCUGACGGAGCAACGCCGCGUGAGUGAUGAAGGUUUUCGGAUCGUAAAGCUCUGUUGUUAGGGAAGAACAAGUGCCGUUCAAAUAGGGCGGCACCUUGACGGUACCUAACCAGAAAGCCACGGCUAACUACGUGCCAGCAGCCGCGGUAAUACGUAGGUGGCAAGCGUUGUCCGGAAUUAUUGGGCGUAAAGGGCUCGCAGGCGGUUUCUUAAGUCUGAUGUGAAAGCCCCCGGCUCAACCGGGGAGGGUCAUUGGAAACUGGGGAACUUGAGUGCAGAAGAGGAGAGUGGAAUUCCACGUGUAGCGGUGAAAUGCGUAGAGAUGUGGAGGAACACCAGUGGCGAAGGCGACUCUCUGGUCUGUAACUGACGCUGAGGAGCGAAAGCGUGGGGAGCGAACAGGAUUAGAUACCCUGGUAGUCCACGCCGUAAACGAUGAGUGCUAAGUGUUAGGGGGUUUCCGCCCCUUAGUGCUGCAGCUAACGCAUUAAGCACUCCGCCUGGGGAGUACGGUCGCAAGACUGAAACUCAAAGGAAUUGACGGGGGCCCGCACAAGCGGUGGAGCAUGUGGUUUAAUUCGAAGCAACGCGAAGAACCUUACCAGGUCUUGACAUCCUCUGACAAUCCUAGAGAUAGGACGUCCCCUUCGGGGGCAGAGUGACAGGUGGUGCAUGGUUGUCGUCAGCUCGUGUCGUGAGAUGUUGGGUUAAGUCCCGCAACGAGCGCAACCCUUGAUCUUAGUUGCCAGCAUUCAGUUGGGCACUCUAAGGUGACUGCCGGUGACAAACCGGAGGAAGGUGGGGAUGACGUCAAAUCAUCAUGCCCCUUAUGACCUGGGCUACACACGUGCUACAAUGGACAGAACAAAGGGCAGCGAAACCGCGAGGUUAAGCCAAUCCCACAAAUCUGUUCUCAGUUCGGAUCGCAGUCUGCAACUCGACUGCGUGAAGCUGGAAUCGCUAGUAAUCGCG
rnacentral:rRNA from 1 species